GACCAAACUAUCUAAUGAAUUUAUCCUUCGUCUUGAUCAUUUUAUAUCUUAUUGUUCCAUGUGUUACAUCAGUCUCGUUUGUAGUCAUUUUUCUUUCACUGCACCUUGAGUUAUUUGUGUUGAGCGGGUACGAGUUCCAGCUACUUUUAAUUAUCAUAAAGAUCUUACUUAUGGAUAAGUUUUCCAAAUAUACUUACUUUCGAGAUUUUUUUUUAACGAGGGUUCGCAACA